UACGUAGGGGGCGAGCGUUGUCCGGAUUUAUUGGGCGUAAAGAGCUCGUAGGCGGUUUGGCAAGUCGGGGGUGAAAACUCCGGGCUCAACUCGGAGACGCCACUCGAUACUGCUAUGACUCGAGUCCGGUAGGGGAGUGCGGAAUUCCUGGUGUAGCGGUGAAAUGCGCAGAUAUCAGGAGGAACACCGGUGGCGAAGGCGGCACUCUGGGCCGGAACUGACGCUGAGGAGCGAAAGCGUGGGGAGCAAACAGG
rnacentral:rRNA from 1 species